GAAGCUGAUUGGUUAAAUGUUUAUUAUUUUUCCCUAGCAACCACACACAAUUGGCUGAUUAGCUUAACUUCUCGGGCGCUAUUAGCAUAACCCCAGAGAGGAAACUGACAGGAGUCAGGGCUAACUUCCUGUUGGAGGACAGUCAGCUGGGCGGAAAUGCUGUACAUCGGAUUACAUUUAGGCACACACUAUUUAAGAAAACCGGUUAAUACAAUUUCUUAAACAUGUUUACAGGUCAUCUUGAGGUGCACCGCUCUUGUCCGUGUCGGGGAGGGCGGCGCUCCAGCGCCCCCUAUUGACCAGCAGCUAUUGAUGACAUGACAUGCAAGCAGUUCUAACCUCAACCCAGACACAUGUCGGCUGCUCAUAAAGUUUCAACAGCGUUCGACCCCAGCAGAUAAUCAGGACCAGAUAAUGUUACAGCAAAAAGUUCCAAGACGUUCUGGGCCGAUGUCAAGGAGAACUUAAAUGCAUCUUUACCACAUCCCCGCUCAGCAAGAACUUACUGAAUCAGUGAACACACGUCAGGGUGCUUUUCAUGUGGAUAACCGCUAACUUCAGAUCUGGAGAUGUUUUAACGUUCAUCUCAUUAGGCAACAAAGUCUGGACUUGCACUCAUGCUAAUAAGCGUCUGGUUUGAAUUCACUCAUAAAUCCAACUUUUACUGGGACCAUGUACCCUUUGGUUCACAUUGCAUUAGCAAAAGAAGAACUUAAUUCGAGCUUAUUAGCUGCAGAGUUACUCAUAAUGAAAACCAAAGAAUUUCCACCAACCUGGGCAUGCAGCCACAACAACCUUUUAUCACCUUUGGGAUGUCUGCAAAUAAUAGGAGCUCUUGUUUCAAUUUCCUUUUAACAUAACAUGAAGAAUAUUGAGCAAAACCACUAAACAUCGUUCCUCUGGCUCACGUCUCCUUGCCGGCUCAAAUCACUGAAAUCAAUGUUGUGAAUGGCUGCAGAUGUGACAUAAUGGACGAGUGUGAGUCCUUAGACAUCUCCUUGUACCUGAAAGUCAAGUGACUCAAUCCACAUCAGAUGAAUAAGAAUUUCUGAAAACAUUCAAAUUAAUAAACGUAAUAGAAACCUUGUGAUCCCAAGGCCACACUCUGUCCUCUACCAGUGAGAUUUAGAAAAUUUAUUGUACCAUUUCCUCAGAAAAAGGACUUUGCUUGUGAUUGAAAUGUUUAACCUGGAGCCACUCUGUCACUAUCAGAGAUAAGCUCUGAUCUGCCUCAUUUUAAUGUCACAUUGUCUCGUCUUUUGCAUUUCGGGUUUGGCCGAGAGGAGCUGGGUUGGUGUGUCAUCCCAUAUUCAGACCCCAGAGAAGCAAAAAGUCACAGAUUACUACUUAUGAGUCAUUGGA